rnacentral:rRNA from 1 species
GACGAAGGAUGCAAGCGUUAUCCGGAUUCAUUGGGUUUAAAGGGAGCGUAGGUGGCCUUAUAAGUCAGUGGUGAAAUCUCUGGGCUUAACCCAGAAAUUGCCAUUGAUACUGUAGGGCUUGAGUACAGUUGCUGUGGGCGGAAUAUGACAUGUAGUGGUGAAAUACAUAGAGAUGCCAUAGAACACCGAUUGCGAAGGCAGCUCACAAAACUGUAACUGACACUGAGGCUCGAAAGUGCGGGGAUCAAACAGG